rnacentral:lncRNA from 1 species
AUCACAUCGAACUCUUUUACUAAAAUUUAUUUGAUUUUUUUGAAUUCUAAGAUGAAAGUGUAAAACUUCCGCCUCCAAAAUGUACAACUGAAAUUACCGUCCUCUUAUAGAUGGUAUUAAUAUUCCAAUUUUUUCAAGUAAUGUCACGCCCCGGGGUCCCGUUUUAGUUUAAAGCAUAGCGGAAAAGUAUCUGAAAUUUUUUUUUUUUGAAAACCUGACCCCAGGGUAUGCCAGAUCCGCCACAAAUACAGGAGAUCCACUGUUCACACGGACAGAGUCUCCCCUGUAUUUGCACGGCGUCGCACAAGUACAAGAGUUCAAACAUGAUACAACCACAACCAGAUGAACAUACAAAUAAUCACAGUUAUAUAUUCAUACACCAUUCACCACAGGUUCACAUUUUUACAUUCAAUAUUUAAACAUAAAUCCACAUCUAUCAGUUAAAAUGUUUCCAACCACAGAAACAAGUUUUGAAAUACUAAGAUGCAAAAUCCAUAGAAAACCUUUUGAAAACUGUUCCUACACAGGAACUUUUAUCUUUCUUUAAAACGCUACCACGAGGGG